CAUCUAUCUUUCUUUUUUUGAGAGAGAGAGAGAGAGAGAGAGAGUGAGUCUCAGUCUGUCACCUAGGCUGGAGUGCAGUGGUACAGAUAUGGCUAACUGCAGCCUCUAUCUCCCAAUCUCCCAGGCUCAAGCAAUUCUUGUCUUCCUGCCUCAGCCUUCUGAGUAGCUGGGACUACAGGCAAGUGUCACUAAACUCAGCUAAUUUUUUGAUGUGUAAAGAAAUGGAGUCUCACUAUGUUGCCCAGGCUGGUCUCAAAUUCCUGUCCUUGAGCUACCAUCCCAUCUGGGUAUUUGCAGCUUUCCUCCUUUCUUCCAACUAUACGUGCAGAGGCUGUAUCUCUGGAUCCAGAUGCAGCUCAUCCCGACCUCAUCCUGAGGGUAGAAGAUACAUUUCUUCAAUAAAGAAUGCUCUCCAGAACUGUAAAGCCCCCACACACUAAGGACAAGGGGAAUCUGAAACCAUCUUCAGUUUUCUGGGUUUACUACAGGGGAGACAGACGUUACUGGGAGGUAGAAGUAAACAACGGGGACAGAAGUUGGACCAGGAACAAGAUGAACUCUGGGUGUUCAUUCAGCACAACGAAGAGAGGGGGGUGGUUUGUAGAAAGUCC
rnacentral:lncRNA from 1 species